AUUAUAAUGAAUGUUCACAAGGACACCGCGUAAAAUUCACUUCGAACGAGCUGUUUGAAAAUAUACUUUCAUUCAUGAGGAUUCACCGAAAGUCUACAAGAGACAAGAAAUCUGACGGACUGUGAUGCGAAUAAACCAGUGACCAUUGA